GGAGGGGGCGAGCGUUAUUCGGAUUUACUGGGCGUAAAGCGCACGUAGGCGGCUAGGUAUGUCAAAGGUGAAAGCCCUCGACUCAACCGAGGAACUGCCUUUGAAACUGCUUGGCUUGAGUCCGGGAGAGGGGAGCGGAAUUCCCAGUGUAGCGGUGAAAUGCGUAGAUAUCAGGAAGAACACCAGUGGCGAAGGCGGCUCUCUGGCCUGUUACUGACGCUGAGGCGCGAAAGCCGGGGGAGCGAACAGGGAUUAGAUACCCUGGUAGUCCCGGCCGUAAACGUUGGGCACUAGGUGCAGCGGGUGUCGACCCCCUGCUGUGCCGAAGCUAACGCAUUAAGUGCCCCGCCUGGGGAGUACGGUCGCAAGGCUG
rnacentral:rRNA from 1 species